rnacentral:misc_RNA from 1 species
GGACUCAUAAUAGAACUGAAAUUUCAAAUAAAUCUCCUAUAAAAGAUGCCAAACCAUGAAAACUCCUAACUUCCUUGAUGGAUUGAGGUGCUGGCCUAUCAGCAAUUGCCUGAACUUUUUCUGGAUCUGGUUUUAAACCUUCUGCCAACACAAUGAACUCAACAAACACCACUUCUGACUAUAGGAAAGUACAUUUUUUUAAGUUUAUAUACAGCUGUUCCCUUUGAAGUGCUUCCAGCGCUUGUCGCAAAUGUUCUAAAUGCUCUUCCUUAGUACAAAUAUAGAUCAAAAUGAAAAAUUCACUGCAAUGAAAGAAUUCAAGAAAGGCUUGAGUACAUC